AGGAAAUGAAUGCUUCAAGGAGAUCAGCUAGCAAGGAGCUGGGACCUGACAAAAUGUGUCAGAAAGGAAGCAAUUAGAGUCAAAACAGGAAAAAAAAAAUAUCACAGUUUUCUACAUAAAUAUGGGCACAUCCUGCUUGUGAGUACCUGCAGAAUCCCUUAAAGUGAAGGCUGGGUUUACCUGUGUUGUUGAUGGAAGCAGUCCAAAGGCCAGCGCACACAGCCCUGACCAUUUUGGUUGAUCACUGUUUGGAUGCUUGGUGUUGGUCUUCAGCCCAGAGCUUUCUCAAUGGCCAGCGCUGGGUCCAGGAGCCAGAGAGCACUAUGGGGACCACUUGGUUGUUUGCACACUGGUGAACUGAGCCCUUCAUCAAAGCCUUCUUGGACACACAUGAGCCAUUUUGCUGUUCCCAUCUGCAUUUUGAAGCCAAACCCCCUGUGACCUGGGGCAGAAGAUCAUGACUGAUCAGUGGUGGCUUCCCAGGAUGAGACACAUCCCUAAGGUCAACAUCUGCACACAAGCAGCAACAUGGCGGUUCCCUCAACCACCAGCAAUGCCUUGUCCCAGGUUCGAGGCAGAAGGAAAUUUUGCUGCAGAUGAAUCCUGAAUAGAACACUUUGAAUUACCGCAGAGCCUUUCCUGGUGAAAUGGCAAAAUGAGCUCUUUUUUUUUGUGCCAUCUAUUUGUGCCUCCAAUUUGACAUUUUGGGGACAAAAGAGAGAAAGAAAUGCUGAAUUCCAGAGUGUUUGACACUUGCUGCAAGAGACAACCCAGGACAGCAGUGCGUGGGCCACUUUGGAAGAUGGGGACAUGGAUGGGGACCUGGGGCUGCACUGCAGAACCACAAAGGCACCAUCCAGUCCUGCUCUGUCCCACCAGCUCCAUGUUCUGUUCCCAACAAACCAGUGACCAAACCCAGCAGCCACUUUUCACACCAUACUCAUCAGGGUGGGUGCUGUGACUUUUGCUGGGGGUCCUUGAGGAUGCUCUGUUAAAGCAGGAUGUAUCUGACCCUGGAAAUAGAGCAAUACGUUCCCGAUGCAGCAGAGAUCUGGGGAUGCAGCUCUUGGGAAAUGCUUUGCUUCCUUAAACUUCUGUUUGGGAAAAAAAAAAAAAAAAGAGCAAAUUCUGAUCUAACAGCAUAAAACUGGAGUCAUUCUACUGCAAACCACAGCUUGACUUUGAAUUAAUAUUGGUGUAAAUUGGAGUAAGAUUUGGCCACAAGACUCAGCUCUCCCCUCAUUCCUGAAAGACACAAACACAAAGCUCUAAACAUUGACAGUUAUGUAUUGCAUAAAAUAUUUCCUGGCUUGGAAAACCUCACGGGACAGCGAUCAGGAACAAGAUGGUGC
ensembl:lncRNA